GUCUUACGAAUUAUGAUAAUAGUUUGACGCUUGACAAGCUAGGUGGAGGCUUGGAAAUGAAGCGGGUCAAACGAAGCAAGAAUGGCGGAAAAAGCAUAAUUCGGAUACAAGGUAAGUAUAACUUACACUAGUCUUAAAUUGUGGAAUGUUUUCUUAUCAUAUAAAUUAUGAAUGAGGUGUCUAAACAUUUGAAAAGUGAUGUUCCGUCGUGUAAUCGAACGGAACAAGAAAAUCAAGGAUAAAUGGUUAAUUCGGCCAAACGGGUCAAAAGGUGUAGAUAACACCUUUUGACUAUAUCGACUAACGAUUCUUUUGUCGAGUCAUAUGCUUACAGGAAUAGAUAUCCAAUGGAUAUUCGCACCGUUCUUAAUUAGCGAAUAUAAAGCAAGGUAUUAAGAUCGGGUCUAUUUGUUGACUCGAGUCAGGUACGCUUAUUUAUGAUGUACCUAAACGUAAAUUGGCUGGUCUUAGCUCCCUAGCGUCGUGAUAAGUCUCGCAAGCUUGAUUGCAGUAUCUGAUGGAACAAUACUUUAUGUUUAUUUACGAUCCACUGUGGAUAUUCAACUUCUGUAAUACAUUGAUAUUAUCACCAGAGGUUGAAAUAUAUAUUUAUCUUAU
rnacentral:lncRNA from 1 species